rnacentral:rRNA from 1 species
UACGUAGGCAGCAAGCGUUGUUCGGAGUUACUGGGCGUAAAGGGCGCGUAGGCGGCGCAUCAAGUCAGGCGUGAAAGCCCCGGGCUUAACCUGGGAAUUGCGCUUGAUACUGAUGUGCUAGAGAGCGGGAGAGGAUGGCGGAAUUCCCAGUGUAGAGGUGAAAUUCGUAGAGAUUGGGAAGAACACCGGUGGCGAAGGCGGCCAUCUGGACCGUUGCUGACGCUGAGGCGCGAAAGAGUGGGGAGCAAACAGG